AAUAGAUACCCAGGUAGUCCACGCCGUAAACGAUGUCGACUUGGAGGUUGUUCCCUUGAGGAGUGGCUUCCGGAGCUAACGCGUUAAGUCGACCGCCUGGGGAGUACGGCCGCAAGGUUAAAACUCAAAUGAAUUGACGGGGGCCCGCACAAGCGGUGGAGCAUGUGGUUUAAUUCGAUGCAACGCGAAGAACCUUACCUACUCUUGACAUCCACGGAACUUUUCAGAGAUGAAUUGGUGCCUUCGGGAACCGUGAGACAGGUGCUGCAUGGCUGUCGUCAGCUCGUGUUGUGAAAUGUUGGGUUAAGUCCCGCAACGAGCGCAACCCUUAUCCUUUGUUGCCAGCGGUUAGGCCGGGAACUCAAAGGAGACUGCCAGUGAUAAACUGGAGGAAGGUGGGGAUGACGUCAAGUCAUCAUGGCCCUUACGGAGUAGGGCUACACACGUGCUACAAUGGCGCAUACAAAGAGAAGCGACCUCGCGAGAGCAAGCGGACCUCAUAAAGUGCGUCGUAGUCCGGAUUGGAGU
rnacentral:rRNA from 1 species